GGAACGAUGAGUUCGAAGCGUCAAUGUAAGGUUGAACAGAAAUGGGAUUAAAACAGUUGUACAAAGAAAAUACAGGGAGAAAAAAUUAAAAAUGACAACACAGACAAGAGCCUUAGAUGCAAGUGCUGAAGAGGACCGCACGACUGUGCCACUGACUCGGUUUGUUGAAAGACUGAGGAAAGGCGUAGAGCACCAGUGACUCGAAGGCGGACACUGGCUCGAUCGUUUGUCGAGGCUGAGCGUCGAUGAACUACCUACACAAUUAAUUUCAUUUCCUUUUUUGCUGCGUUUGAGCGGUUAAUUGAUUUAACGUUUCAUCAGGGCUUGAUACGAUAAAUAGUACUUUUUGUAUGCACAGGGGAUGCGGGAUAUGUCAAACCGAUUCUGUUUAGCAGCCUGAAGAAUGAAUACAUGAAUGGAAAAAAAAUUCUAGUUCGUUGUCAAUAAGCUCAAAUAAGUGGAUGUAGGGCCUUAAAGCUGAAUUCCAAGGGAUGUUCCGAAAACUGAACUUCAAGCGAAAAUCGAAUUCCACUAUGUCACCGUUUCACUAGUUAAAUUAAA